GACAGAGGAUGCAAGCGUUAUCCGGAAUGAUUGGGCGUAAAGCGUCUGUAGGUGGCUUUUUAAGUCCGCCGUCAAAUCCCAGGGCUCAACCCUGGACAGGCGGUGGAAACUACCAAGCUGGAGUACGGUAGGGGCAGAGGGAAUUUCCGGUGGAGCGGUGAAAUGCGUAGAUAUCAAGAGGAACACCUGCGGCGAAGGCGGGUUGCUGGGCCGACACGUGACGCUGAGGCGCGAAAGCUAGGGGAGCGAACGGG
rnacentral:rRNA from 1 species